rnacentral:lncRNA from 1 species
AUUAAUUAUUAAUCCAAUGAAUCAAGAUGGCUCCUAAUUAGAUUAGGAUUGAAGAGUUCAAUUGAGUCAUGGUUCAUUCAAGUUCUAAUUGGAUUAGGACUAGCAUAGAUUGAACCCAAUUGAUUCAUGAUUUGGACUAAACCAAAUAGGAGCCCUAGAUGCUAUUUAAGAGGAGGCUUGGGGGCUGACCUAAUUCAUAUGUGAAGCCCUCCUCCUCUCCAUCACGUGGCCACCCUCCUCUCCUCUCUUUUCAGCCACCAACAACAAAGGGAAGAAAAGGAUCUUGGUGGCCUCCUUCUUCCUCCACCGUUUGGUUCCAACGCAAGGAAGAAAAAGAAGGCUGCAGGGCUUCGUUCCUCUUCUUCUCUUCAUCCUUCUUCUUCCUCCUUCCAAGCACAAUCAAGGAUUGAUUGAAAGGGAGGAUAUCAGCCAUCAAAGUUAUCUCUGCAAGGGAGCUAGCACCCCGGAGAGAUAGAAAGCUUGGAUCGGUUUUCUGCUUCGUGUGGAUACCCGUAGAGGCCGGGCACUUGAACGGCUUCAAGCGAACCUUCAUCCUAAACCACGAUCAUCAGUUUGCGGUGAUCAUCUACCCGCACAAAGGUGAAGAUCUGAUCUUGCUAAUGCUAUUUAAAAGUUUUUAAUCCUUAUCUAUCUACGAACGGUUUUUAAACAACGUUCAUGCGAUAAACGGUUGAUCCCGCACAUGCCUCUUCC